UACGUAGGGGUCUAGCGUUGUCCGGAAUCACUGGGCGUAAAGGGCGCGUAGGCGGCCGAUCAAGUCGGGGGUGAAAGCCUGUGGCUCAACCACAGAAUUGCCUUCGAUACUGUUUGGCUUGAGACCGGAAGAGGUUAGUGGAACUGCGAGUGUAGAGGUGAAAUUCGUAGAUAUUCGGAAGAACACCAGUGGCGAAGGCGGCUCACUGGCCCGGUACUGACGCUGAGGUGCGAAAGCGUGGGGAGCAAACAGG
rnacentral:rRNA from 1 species